GUAGGAGGUGGACGAGGAGGACAAGGAUUUGUGCUCGUAUUCGAGGUAUAACCGGAGGUCGUCGGCAGUGGUCGUCGGAGGUGGUUAACGGUAGUUGCGGGUGAUCGAAGUGGACGACGCGGAGGACGAGGGGGAGGAGGACGAGGAUGACGAUAAUUUGUGGACUAUUUAGAAAACGGGACGUGCAUACCAUACGAGGCAAACUGCGCUAGCUGCCAAAAUCGUUUGGAUCAUUGCACUGCGUGCAAACACCACUUAGUCUUGCACGAAAACACGUGCUACGCUGCCUGUCCUAAAAACACGUACGAAACGAUGGAUUAUAACUGCGAAGCCUGUCAUGUAUCCUGUGAAACUUGCAAUGGCACUGGUGAAACUCAGUACAUCGGUUGUCAGCCUGGACUUUAUUUUUC